rnacentral:rRNA from 1 species
CGAGCGAGAAAGGGAGCUUCGGUUCCCAAGUAAAGCGGCGGACGGGUGAGUAACACGUGGGUAAUCUGCCCUCGGGUGGGGAAUAACUCAGGGAAACCUGGGCUAAUUCCGCAUGAUAUUCCCGAUACUCAAGUAUUGGAAAUCAAAGCUGGGGACCCUUCGGGGCCUGGCGCCUGAGGAGGAGCCCGCGGCCAAUUAGCUUGUUGGUGGGGUAAUGGCCCACCAAGGCUUCGAUUGGUAGCCGGCCUGAGAGGGCGGACGGUCACACUGGGACUGAGACACGGCCCAGACUCCUACGGGAGGCAGCAGUGGGGAAUUUUUGUCAAUGGGGGAAACCCUGAACAAGCAACGCCGCGUGGAGGACGAAGACCCUCGGGUUGUAAACUCCUGUCGGAGGGGACGAAAGUGCAGGUGGUUAAUACCCAUCAGUAUUGACGGUACCCUACGAGGAAGCCCCGGCUAACUCCGUGCCAGCAGCCGCGGUAAUACGGGGGGGGCAAGCGUUGUUCGGAAUUACUGGGCGUAAAGGGCGCGUAGGCGGACCAGACAGUCUCUCGUGA